UGGGUGGUGAAGUUGGCAUGGUAUUUGAGAUUUACGGAGGUACUGAGGGUGGGUGGUGAAGUUGGCAUGGUAUUUGAGAUUUACGGAGGUUCUGACGAUGGGUGGUGAAACAGUGACAGAGAGCGAGUGAAAAGGAAGGAGUUACAAAGUUCAAGUUCAAGUUCAAGUUCAAGUUUAUUAUCAUUUACUCAUAAACAGCAUUUAUCAGUAAUGAAAUUCUUUGUGCUCAAUGUCCGUUCAACUUAGAGAAAAAAAUAAAUGAAACACUGGAGAAUGGGGAAAAGGG
ensembl:lncRNA